UACGUAGGGGGCGAGCGUUGUCCGGAUUUAUUGGGCGUAAAGAGCUCGUAGGCGGCUUGGCAAGUCGGGUGUGAAACCUCCAGGCUCAACCUGGAGACGCCACUCGAUACUGCCAUGGCUAGAGUCCGGUAGGGGACCACGGAAUUCCUGGUGUAGCGGUGAAAUGCGCAGAUAUCAGGAGGAACACCUAUGGCGAAGGCAGCUCUCUGGGACGGUACUGACGCUGAGACGCGAAAGCGUGGGGAGCGAACAGG
rnacentral:rRNA from 1 species